rfam:Ictidomys tridecemlineatus contig044619, whole genome shotgun sequence.
UGGGGUGUAGCUCAGUGGGAGAGCACUUGCUUAGUUAGCAUGCACAGGCUCUGGGUUCAAUCCUCAGCACCACAG